ACCGCAUACGACCUACGGGAGAAAGGGGGCAGUUUACUGCUCUCGCUAUUAGAUGAGCCUAAGUCGGAUUAGCUAGAUGGUGGGGUAAAGGCCUACCAUGGCGACGAUCUGUAGCUGGUCUGAGAGGAUGAUCAGCCACACCGGGACUGAGACACGGCCCGGACUCCUACGGGAGGCAGCAGUGGGGAAUAUUGGACAAUGGGGGAAACCCUGAUCCAGCCAUGCCGCGUGUGUGAAGAAGGCCUUUUGGUUGUAAAGCACUUUAAGCAGUGAAGAAGACUCCGUGGUUAAUACCCACGGACGAUGACAUUAGCUGCAGAAUAAGCACCGGCUAACUCUGUGCCAGCAGCCGCGGUAAUACAGAGGGUGCAAGCGUUAAUCGGAAUUACUGGGCGUAAAGGGAGCGUAGGUGGCUCUAUAAGUCAGAUGUGAAAUCCCCGGGCUUAACCUGGGAACUGCAUCUGAAACUGUAGAGCUAGAGUAUGUGAGAGGGAGGUAGAAUUUCAGGUGUAGCGGUGAAAUGCGUAGAGAUCUGAAGGAAUACCGAUGGCGAAGGCAGCCUCCUGGCAUAAUACUGACACUGAGGCUCGAAAGCGUGGGUAGCAAACAGGAUUAGAUACCCUGGUAGUCCACGCCGUAAACGAUGUCUACUAGUCGUUGGGUCCCUUGAGGACUUAGUGACGCAGCUAACGCAAUAAGUAGACCGCCUGGGGAGUACGGCCGCAAGGUUAAAACUCAAAUGAAUUGACGGGGGCCCGCACAAGCGGUGGAGCAUGUGGUUUAAUUCGAUGCAACGCGAA
rnacentral:rRNA from 1 species